GGGAAUUUCACAGCGCUAUCUAGUGUGGGCAGAUGACGUGUACCACAGGGACUUCAUCUACCCACACAAAGACGGCGGCGCCCAGAACCUAGGUCCGGGCACAAGAUAACGACGAAAAAAAUAGGUAAGCUGGGGGGCUUAGGGGCAUUUGUGUGUGACAAUUGUAGAUGUAGUGGAGUCGGGUUAAAACAAAACUGGAUACGGCCAUGACAGUGCCGCUUUAAGCAUGCGUGGGAUAGGGCUAUCCUAGACUUAAUUUAAGGCCAGGGACUAAUUAAAGUUUUUAGAAAAUUGGGCAGACUAGAUGGGCUGAAUUGUGAAUGGUUCUUAUCUGCCGUCACAUUCU